rfam:Glarea lozoyensis 74030 unplaced genomic scaffold M7I_scaffold21, whole genome shotgun sequence.
GCUUUCGUGGCUCAGUUGGCUAGAGCGUUGGUCUCAUAUACAAUAUGUCUAUAUGAAACAACUGCAUUACAACAGUUGGGGUUAUCCAAAGGUCGUGAGUUCGAGCCUCACCGAGAGCA